GCUGAAUUUAAAUUUAGAAAAAUGGAGGUCGUUUUGACACAGCUUAAAGAUUUUUCUUCAAAAUCUGUCACAUUUAAUAGCUGUAGCCCAGCAGAAGUUUCCUCCUUGAGGUAUUACAGCAAAGAAGAUGGACCAGAUAGACAGAGCUUAGACAUUGAAAGUGCCUUGGCCUUCCUCAGAAAAGAACUGAUAGAGAUCUGAUGCUUGGAUCAGAUACUCAUUAAGCAGUUGAUGGAACUCCAUGCUGGCAUCCAAGACUUGAAGCAAGAAUACAAUGAUUUCACAGACAUAGGAGCCAACUACCA
rnacentral:lncRNA from 1 species